AUACCUUUCUCGGCCUUUUGGCUAAGAUCAAGUGUAGUAUCUGUUCUUAUCAGUUUAAUAUCUGAUACGUGGGUCAUCGGCCCACAUGAUAUUAAAUUUAUUUUUCUAGGGGGAAGGCUCACCAUAUAAUAGCUUGCUAUUGGGGCCUUCGAGCGUCGCCCAUGCGUUGCACUAUUGCUUGGGUUAUGGCGUACCCCUC